UCUGGCUGUGAAAUUCCGAAGGCUCAACCUCGGGCUUGGCAGUGGGUACGGGCAGACUAGAGUGCGGUAGGGGGAGAUUGGGAAUUCCUGGUGUAGCGGUGGGAAUGCGCAGAUAUCAGGAGGAACACCGAUGGCGAAAGGCAGAUCUCUGGGCCGUUACUGACGCUGAGGAGCCGAAAGGGUGGGGAGCAAACAGGCUUAGAUACCCUGGUAGUCCACCCCCGUAAACGUUGGGAACUAGUUGUGGGGUCCUUUCCACGGAUUCCGUGACGUAGCUAACGCAUUAAGUUCCCCGCCUGGGGAGUACGGCCGCAAGGCUAAAACUCAAAGGAAUUGACGGGGACCCGCACAAGCGGCGGAGCAUGCGGAUUAAUUCGAUGCAACGCGAAGAACCUUACCAAGGCUUGACAUACACCAGAACGGGCCAGAAAUGGUCAACUCUUUGGACACUGGUGAACAGGUGGUGCAUGGUUGUCGUCAGCUCGUGUCGUGAGAUGUUGGGUUAAGUCCCGCAACGAGCGCAACCCUCGUUCUAUGUUGCCAGCACGUUAUGGUGGGAACUCAUGGGAUACUGCCGGGGUCAACUCGGAGGAAGGUGGGGAUGACGUCAAAUCAUCAUGCCCCUUAUGUCUUGGGCUUCACGCAUGCUACAAUGGCCGGUACAAUGGGCUGCGAUACCGCGAGGUGGAGCGAAUCCCAAAAAGCCGGUCCCAGUUCGGAUUGAGGUCUGCAACUCGACCUCAUGAAGUCGGAGUCGCUAGUAAUCGCAGAUCAGCAACGCUGCGGUGAAUACGUUCCCGGGUCUUGUACACACCGC
rnacentral:rRNA from 1 species